rnacentral:rRNA from 1 species
GACGGAGGAUGCAAGUGUUAUCCGGAAUCACUGGGCGUAAAGCGUCUGUAGGUGGUUUAAAAAGUCCACUGUUAAAGAUUGAAGCUUAACUUCAAAAAUGCCGUGGAAACUUUUAAACUUGAGUAUGAUAGGGGUAGAGGGAAUUUCCAGUGGAGCGGUGAAAUGCGUAGAUAUUGGAAAGACCACCAAUGGCGAAGGCACUCUACUGGGCCAUUACUGACGCUGAUGCACGAAAGCUAGGGGAGCAAACAGG